ACGCCGGCGUCGGCGGGCGUAUUUCGCCUCACAGUAGGUCGCCGCGACCCGUUGCUUUUGGGGACGUCGAAGGCCCGGACGGAUUGGUACCCUACCGGCUGGGGAUGCGGCUUCGGCUUCUCCUCUUGUCCGGUGGGCGAAACCGCCGGUGUCCUGGCUGCCCUGCGACGGUCGUAGAGACGAGCCCUCCCCUUCGGGGGGGCGGCUCUCGCGGCGUGCAAAAGGUCGGUGAUCCACCCGACCCGUCUUGAAACACGGACCAAGGAGUCUAACAUGUGUGCGAGUCAGUGGGCGCACUAAACCCAGAGGCGUAAUGAAAGUGACACGGGUUCGGCUGUCGCCUCGUGUGGCAGCCGGACUCAGGGCCGAUCCCUCACCGGUUGCCCUCGCCUCUCUCCCGCGUCUCGGUAAGCCGGGUGAGCUAUUUUCCCCGGCCGCUGCUGCGGGGCUCGGGGGGAGGCGGGGUGCGAUGGUGUCCGUAAAAAAGAGCCUGCUGUUGCAGGGGGGCGCAGGCCCGGGACUUGCCAGGACGCCGCGAGACUGUCACUUUGCUGUGAGGCUCUCGGGCCGAUCAGCGGGUCAUGCGUGCAGUCGGCAAGUACCAUGAGCAGACAUGUUGGGACCCGAAAGAUGGUGAACUAUGCCUGGCCAGGAUGAAGCCAGAGGAAACUCUGGUGGAGGUCCGUAG
rnacentral:rRNA from 1 species